rnacentral:rRNA from 1 species
GACGAACGCUGGCGGCGUGCUUAACACAUGCAAGUCGAACGGAAAGGCCCCUUUGGGGGUUCUCUUGUGGCGAACGGGUGGGUAACACGUUAGUAACCUGCCCUCUACUUCGUGAUAACUUCAGACAACUGGGGCCAAUACCUGAUAGGAAUCCUUGCUGCAUGGUGGGGGUUGGAAAGCUUCGGCGGUUUUGGCUGGACUCGCGGCCUGUCAGCUUGUUGGUGGGGUAGUGGCUUACCAAGGCUUUGACGGGUAGCCGGCCCGAGAGGGCGACCGGCCACAUUGGGACUGAGAGACGGCCCAGACUCCUAAGGGAGGCAGAAGGGGGGAAAAUUGCACAAUGGGCGGAAGCCUGAUGCAAGAACGCCGCGUGCGGGAAGACGGCCUUCGGGUUGGAAAACGGGUUCAGCAGGGGCGAAGCUUGUGGUGACGGUACCUGGAGAAGAAGCACCGGCUAAAUACGUG